rnacentral:tRNA from 1 species
UGGAGCUCAGUGGUAGAGCACUUGCCUGGAAUGUAUGAAGCACUGGGUUUGAUUCUCAGCA